AUAGUUCAACAAUUAUAAAGAUUUAUGGAAAUUUCUCACCAAACUACUGUUUGUGAAAAACAGUAAAAAAGGGAUCAGUCCUGAGACCAAGAACACAAUCACCAGUGGCCAAAUGGUGAUAAGUCCACCGUUACUCACUGAAAAGUCACAAAACAAGAUUAUUAGUGAAAAAAAUUUGUCAGAUCCUUUAAAAAAUCGACAGAUCUUAAAAAAAAUGUCAGAUCCCAAAUAUUUUUUUUUCGACCCAAAGAAUAACUUGUGUAAAGAAGCACAUCCAGAAACCCUCUUGGCUUUGAUACCAAUUUUGUUGGGUAUUUCUUGAUGAUAAAGAACUCUAACCGAAAACAAUAAAUCAAAGUACUCAAAUGAUAAAACGAAAAACAAGACAAAACAACGAAAUUUGUUGACCCAGUUCAGCCAAACACGGCCUAAUUUGGGGGGCUCAGGAGUUGAACCCGUUUCACUAUGCAAAUCGCCGUCCAAGAAAACUAAAGUUGCAUCAAACCACUCAGAAUACACAAGUUUCGAUCAUCGAUCAACAGAUAUACGAAACUAAACACAAAUCCUUCCACAGUACUUAGCCCCAACUCCACAGUUUACACAAACCGAAACCAACAGCCACAUAAACCAACCCACAAAUUAUUGUAGCAAGGCUAUUAUACAAGGCCUAGUGUAGAAACACAAUUAUACAGGAAGAAUUUAACCGAAGAGAAGAAAGAGAUGAAAAAUCUCUCUCGAAGAAGGCCUCCAGAGAGAGACCAGAAACAAGAAAAAUGAAUCUGAAAAACCAACCGUCCAGCAGCCAUUUUCAUUUGGAAGUUUCCAUUACACUGUCCGGUGGAAAAUAAUCCAUUUUAAUACGUGGUAUGUGGUUGAUAAUGAAGUUUGACCAAAUCAUUGCCAAGAACAUAGAAUAUCUCCAGGAUUCAUUUGGAGAAAUAUGGAAGUAACUAAUGAUCUAGGCUGUAAAUGAGAGAUUGAAUUAAGUGGCAAACAGAUUCUUUAGUAAUUUUGGGUAACCAUAAUAACAUGUCAACAUCUAAUAUGAAGUACAUCAGGAUUUUCUUGAGCAUAGAAAGAUUGAAUGAGAAAAAGUUGCAUCGAGAUACACCUUUCUGGAUCGUUAUUUCAGAAAGGUCACUUUACUGAUGCUAGAAUAAAAGGUGCAAAAUUGAUAUCACUCCAUGUCAGAGUGGGAAGUGGAUGUACUAAUACUUUGCACCAAAUAUUCAACAUAUUGAACUAAUGCCGCCAGUAAAGGGUUAGUGGCAUUAAUUUGAUGUCUGGGCUUUUUAUUACAGCUUUUAGGUCAUUUUUUAUUGGUUAAGGCAAAUCUUUGGGGAUCCCAUUUAGAUUGAUGUAUUUGAAAUCAAUUUCCCAAAUCCGGUAAUGGUGUUUGAUAACUCACACUUUCUAAGGUUAUAAGUUCACCAUAAAACCUAACCAAUUUGAGGCUCACUUUAUGUUGAUUUCAAAUCCAUUGACUCUCCAUCGUCAUUCUUCAGCAUAGUGCAGAGGUGGUUUGUGAGAGUUUAAAGCAACAGUGGUGUUGCAACGACAAUAUCAUGGAGGUGUUGGGUUGAGAGACGGUGGGUGAUGGUAGUGGUGGCAGGUUGUGGUGGUCCUUGACAGAGGUGGCUUUGUGCGGUUUUGGCGGGACAGAAGGUGACCAAGGCAGGUGAUGGUGAAGGCUAAUGGCAUUGACAAUUCCAGCCUGAGCUUUACUUAAUAGGUGAGGAAAUUUAUUAAAACCCUCCUGACAUUCUUGUUUGAAAACUAAACUUCAUUGCAAUUCUCAGGACUAAUUAUGUAAUUAACCAUGACUGGAGCCUAGAAAUCAAAAUUCAAGUGCUUGCUGCUUGGGUCCUGAUGCAUUUUUUUGAUUUCGUUGUGAAUUUUUGUGGUUUGAUUCAGUUGUGUGAAGGCUGAAAAUAGGAAUUUUCUUAUGACGGAUUGAGCAUGCAGUGCGGUUUUGUAAAUUAUAAUCAUGCGACAUAAAUUUGAUGCAUUGCUCUAUACAUGUCUCUGUGAUGUAUAAUUGCUCUCUCUCUAUGUAAGUUUGCUGCAAACUUUUUUCCUUUUAG
rnacentral:lncRNA from 1 species